rnacentral:rRNA from 1 species
UGAUCCUGCCGGACCCCACUGCUAUCGGGAUAGGACUAAGACAUGCUAGUCGAGCGCUUCAGCCAAAAAGAGGCGCGGCAUACAGCUCAGUAACACGUGGCUAAUCUGCCCUUAGGACGAGAACAACCCCGGGAAACUGGGGCUAAUUCUCGAUAGGCGAAGAACUCUGGAAUGAGUCUUCACCCAAAAAGCUUUACGUUAUGCGCGUGAAGUCGCCUAAGGAUGAGGCCGCGACCGAUCAGGUUGUUGGUGAGGUAAUGGCUCACCAAGCCUUUUACCGGUGCGGGCCGUGAGAGCGGGAGCCCGGAGAUGGGCACUGAGACAAGGGCCCAGGCCCUACGGGGCGCAGCAGUCGCGAAAACUUUGCAAUACACGAAAGUGUGACAGGGCUAUCCCGAGUGCCAUCCGCUGAGGAAGGCUUUUACCCAGUCUAGAACGCUGGGGGAAUAAGGAGAGGGCAAGUCUGGUGUCAGCCGCCGCGGUAAUACCAGCUCUCCGAGUGGUGUGGAUGUUUAUUGGGCCUAAAGCAUCCGUAGCUGGCUAAGUUAGUCCCUUGUUAAAUCCACCGAAUUAAUCGUUGGAUUGCGGGGGAUACUGCUUGGCUAGGGGACGAGAGAGGCAGACGGUAUUCCCGGGGUAGGGGUGAAAUCCUAUAAUCCCGAGAAGACCACCAGUGGCGAAGGCUGUCUGCUAGAACGCGCCCGACGGUGAGGGAUGAAAGCUGGGGGAGCGAACCGGAUUAGAUACCCGGGUAGUCCCAGCUGUAAACGAUGCAGGCUAGGUGUUUGGACGGCCACGUGCCGUUCUAGUGCCGCAGGGAAGCUGUUAAGCCUGCCGCCUGGGGAGUACGAUCGCAAGAUUGAAACUUAAAGGAAU